CAGUCGCCGCGGUAAUACAGAGGGUGCGAGCGUUAAUCGGAUUUACUGGGCGUAAAGCGUGCGUAGGCGGCUUUUUAAGUCGGAUGUGAAAUCCCUGAGCUUAACAUAGGAAUUGCAUUCGAUACUGGGAAGCUAGAGUAUGGGAGAGGAUGGUAGAAUUCCAGGUGUAGCGGUGAAAUGCGUAGAGAUCUGGAGGAAUACCGAUGGCGAAGGCAGCCAUCUGGCCUAAUACUGACGCUGAGGUACGAAAGCAUGGGGAGCAAACAGGAUUAGAUACCCCAGUAGUCCCUGUCUCUUAUAC
rnacentral:rRNA from 1 species